rnacentral:misc_RNA from 1 species
UUAAGCUUAUUACUUUCUUGAAGUCGGAAAAAAUAACAAUAAAUAAAAUUAGAAAGCAUUUCUUGAAUCUGUUGUGUAGGAAAUAUUUGUUUUGUUUGUAACUUAAAAGAGUUAAAGUUACGUCUUUUAGACGAUUUAGCCGUUAUAUUAAUAUAAAAACUAAGUUUAGCACAAUAUUCUUAUAUUUUAUAGAAGAUAAUUUCUUUUACUUUACAUAAAACUUUUCACAAUGAUUGAA